GGAGUCUAGCAUGUGCGCGAGUCAUUGGGACACGACUAAACCUAAAGGCGCAAUGAAAGUGAAGGCCCGCCUCGCGCGGGCCGAGGGAAGAUGGGCGUGCCCGCGAAAGCGGCCGCUCCGCAUUCCCGGGGCGUCUCGUUCUCAUCGCGAGAAGAGGCGCACCAAGAGCGUACACGCUGGGACCCGAAAGAUGGUGAACUAUGCCUGGUCAGGACGAAGUCAGGGGAAACCCUGAUGGAGGUCCGUAGCGAUUCUGACGUGCAAAUCGAUCGUCGGAACUGGGUAUAGGGGCGAAAGACUAAUCGAACCAUCUAGUAGCUGGUUCCCUCCGAAGUUUCCCUCAGGAUAGCUGGCGCUCGUCGCCAACGAGUCUCAUCCGGUAAAGCGAAUGAUUAGAGGCAUUGGGGCCGAAACGGCCUCAACCUAUUCUCAAACUUUAAAUGGGUGAGAUCUCCGGCUUGCUCGAACCGAUGAAGCCGCGAGACUCGGAUCAGAGUGCCAAGUGGGCCAUUUUUGGUAAGCAGAACUGGCGCUGUGGGAUGAACCAAACGCCGAGUUAAAGCGCCUAAAUCGACGCUUAUGGGACACCAUGAAAGGCGUUGGUAACUUAAGACAGCAGGACGGUGGCCAUGGAAGUC
rnacentral:rRNA from 1 species